AUGUUACUAACCCCAUGCUAUUCAUCAGAGAGAGAAAAGCUUUUUAAAACAGCUGACUUACAAAGAAUAAUACUAUUAAAAAUAUUUUCAUAAUAAAACCUUGAUUAAGCAAAGACUUCUCAAUGCCUGUAUUACCUAAAAAUCCUACAAUGCAGUUCUAACACUUAAUUGAAUGCUUUCAUAAUUACAAGUAGAUUCCACAGGUGAAACAGAUUUUAAUUUAUUCAUUUAUUCUACCCCAUUUGAGCUCAACAAGGUUCUUUAUAAAAUAGUCACAGGUGCUGCACAGAGAUUUGCUCUUUUGUAGUGCUUGCUUUACAUAUAGUAGUUGUUGUACAGAACAUUUGCCUCCUCAAAUGAGAGGGUGUGGGGAUCAAGUGUUUUGUUUUGGUUUUUUUUGUGAGACAAAGAAUCCCACUGGAGAUUUUUUUUUGCUGUAGUAUUGCCUCCUUCUGUGAUGGUUAAGGGGUUAAUAUGCUGGCAUAAGUUGGUGGGCUGUCUCUACACUGAGGAGAGCAGCUCUUCAGACAAAACGCUGAAGAGCAAAAGGAUGAAGUACAAAUGCCAUUCAGCGGUGUCUAACAUAACUGAUAAAUGCUUUUUGUGUUCCUGUAUCUGUCAGGAUGGAUAUCGCCAUGACAAAAAAAGUGCAAGAAAAUAACAUACUAGUGAAUUCUGUCACUGCAUACCCUAUUAUCAACACCUAGUUAUCUCCAGAUUUCUCGUGUGACACCAUGGAGUACCCCAAGUGUAGAUGCCUUAAUGUAUCUAUAGAAAAGCUGUGUUACACAGCUUGAUAAGCUCAUACUUGUAACUUUCAAGUGUUCAGCUACAAAGUAAAUUAAUAUUUUAAAGGCAGUUUGUGGGUUGCUUAAGGAAUUUUUGUGUGCAAACGUUGCCCAAUGAAGAGAGUAAAAAAGAAAUGUGCUUUCCAACUAAAUGUACCCAAUAAAGUCCAAAUGACGCAAAACA
rnacentral:lncRNA from 1 species